rnacentral:rRNA from 1 species
UACCAGCACCCCGAGUGGUCGGGACGAUUAUUGGGCCUAAAGCAUCCGUAGCCGGUUCUACAAGUCUUCCGUUAAAUCCACCUGCUUAACAGAUGGGCUGCGGAGGAUACUAUAGAGCUAGGAGGCGGGAGAGGCAAGCGGUACUUAGUGGGUAGGGGUAAAAUCCGUUGAUCCAUUGAAGACCACCAGUGACGAAGGCGGCUUGCCAGAACGCACUUGACGGUGAGGGAUGAAAGCUGGGGGAGCAAACCGG